rnacentral:misc_RNA from 1 species
ACAGCUCAAAGGGCUUUAGUUAGGCAGGCAGAUUAUGUUUUUCCAGUUCGUACAUAUUCUUCUCCUUUCCAACAUUCCAAGUUCCAUUCCUUUCUCUUAUUGCUUGAUCCUCUGUUGAUUUUCUUUGUGGUUAUGACUAGUUCCUCAAACUGGAGACCAACAGGCAAUUUCGCCUACACGAGUUGUAGUUCUUUGCUCAUUCCUCUUGAGCUUUGGUUACAAGUAACAACAUUCCUUUAUCAUUCACUUCUGCUCCAUUUCAGUGCACGAAUUAAACCUUGUUAUUGGGUAUGAGAGUCUAAAGGACAUGGACCACUCUCAAAAGAAAGAUGGUGGUGGAAUGAGGAAGU